rnacentral:rRNA from 1 species
AUUGAACGCUGGCGGCAUGCUUUACACAUGCAAGUCGAACGGUAACAGGCCAUCGGGUGCUGACGAGUGGCGAACGGGGGAGUAAUGCAUCGGAACGUGCCCAGAGGUGGGGGAUAACGCAGCGAAAGGUGUGCUAAUACAGCAUGUGAUCUGAGGAUGAAAGCGGGGGACAAGGCAGCAAUGUUUGGCCUCGCGCGUUUGGAGCGGCCGAUGUCUGAUUAGGUAGUUGGUGGGGUAAAGGCCUACCAAGCCGACGAUCUGUAGCUGGUCUGAGAGGACGACCAGCCACACUGGGACUGAGACACGGCCCAGACUCCUACGGGAGGCAGCAGUGGGGAAUUUUGGACAAUGGGCGCAAGCCUGAUCCAGCAAUGCCGCGUGCGGGAAGAAGGCCUUCGGGUUGUAAACCGCUUUUGUACGGAACGAAAAGGCUCUGGCUAAUACCUGGGGCUGAUGACGGUACCGUAAGAAUAAGCACCGGCUAACUACGUG